GAAAGAGCAAUAGGCCGGGACCAUCCUAUAAAAACGAAACGGUCCCUUCGUAACCAGUCGUCCAUAAUAUCAAAUAGAUCAUUUUCUAUCUUCCAACAAUCUUCUCUUUAUUAUUCCACGGGGUGGAACAUAAGUGACACGAGCCAGUACGCGAGCGUAGGAAUGGAGCGAGCAAGAUUCCUUUGGACUUACUUUGGUUUUGCAUAUAUUAUCAUAUAGAAAGAAACGUAGCGAUUCCGUAUCUAGUUUGUGUCUUAUUAUUCAACCAUGGAUCGCUGCGCAGGAAUCAAAUCAACGAGAAAUACUAUACUAGACUAGACUAUACUAGAACUAGAAAUUUCAUCAACGAGAAAUACAAUACUAUACUAGAAAUUUCAUCAACGGGAAAUACAAUACUAUACUAGAAACUAGAACUAGACUAGACUAAAAAUUUCUAGUAGCGAAGGAAAAGCGUGAAACAAUGUCAUGUCGCGACUCGACAUGUUAGAAGGAGCUAAAUCAAUAGGUGCCGGAGCUGCUACAAUUGCUUUAGCGGGAGCUGCUGUCGGUAUUGGAAACGUCCUCAGUUCCUCGAUUCAUUCCGUGGCGCGAAAUCCUUCAUUGGCUAAACAAUCAUUUGGUAGGAACGGGCAAAUAAAGAAUUUCAUUUCGAAUUCCUCCUCCUUUUUUAUUUUUUUGAUAUGCAAAUAUCCUUCUUUGUUAUUGUUUAUAAAAGUUACCAUUUUUGUUGUGAUAAUAUAUUUGCGUUUUUUACUCCCCCUAGUGGGACUCGUCUCCCAUCUAGAUUUGGGAUUGUUGUCCAUUAUAAGUCUCCCCGCCGGAGGUUCAAAGCCCACAGGCUCUAGCUCAUUUAGAAGGGCUCAACUUCUAUCUGAGCCUUUAUGACCAGGAUCCGGAGUGGGUUGCGUUCAUUCAGCAGGAGCUGAAUCACAACACCCCUCUGGAGGACAUUCCUGGGCGCCUACACUUAUUUUUAAUAGAGGAAAAGAUCUCGUGUUUACGACGAGAUCUUAUCCAAGAUUUCAUUUCGAUGUAUAAUAGAAGCGAAGCCGUACUUCCCCUCGAGCCCUACAUUUUGGAAGAGGCGGUUCGCUCCUAUUUAGAUCAUAUUCGUGGGACGGAGAAUAUUUCUAUUCUCCGUGCAGCUUAUCAAGAUCUGCAGGAGAAUGAAGGAUCCAUCUUCUUUUUGGAGGUGGUUUCGCACAACCAGGAUUACCUGGAUGCACAGACCACUUCCAGGAGGUGCCAUGAAUUGGCGCAAAGGAUCCUAUGGGAUGGAAUAGCCCGCAGCCAAGCUCAGCUCGAAAGGGCUGAGUAUGAGCAUGCGCUACUAUUGUUUCAAUAUGAAGAUCUCAAUAGGGGGCGGGGGCAUAUUUAAGCAUGCAUUCCUAUUUUUUUUUGAAGCAGCAAGCGCCUUUAUGUGACCUAACAGGACUUUUGAAUUAACUCAGUGAUUUUGCAGACGGAGGAGAGGAAAUGAAAGCAGAAGAAGUUAUCGAAACUCGGAACCACAUGUUCAAUCUUUUUUAGCGGUUUCCCCAGAGAUCUUUCUCAUUAACGCAACCUUCAUUUUGCUCAUUCAUGGAGUUGUAUUUAGUACCUCUAAGAAAGAUGAUUAUCCACCGUUAGUUAGUAAUGUGGGUUGGCUUGGAUUACUUAGUGUUGCGCGCCUAGGAGGGCAGCGCGCUUGGGAUGCGGAGGAGCUAUUAUCGCCCAGCUCCCUAACCUAAUGCGGCCGGACCGCAGGGAACCUUAGCAUGGGGGGACGUCCUAAUCCUUUUGCCGCCGCAAGGCUGGCUAAUCGUACGCAGCAGGAGCAAGGGAACUCCCCUGGUUCAGGAAGGCACAUGAGUCCGAACGCUAUUAUGAAUGUGCGACCGACACUACACUACGUAGGUACCUGUGCAUGCAGGUGAGGCGUCGGUCGGUCCUAGAAACGGCGGCAGCUAGCGAGGAGUUAACGACCGGACGUGCUGCAACCUAGGGAUCACCAGGCAGCUCUUUCGCUCUAUAGGGAUAUCGGGGGGGGGCAUAGCACAAUUCUUCUUGGAGGAGGGUUGGUUUGCCCAGGUGACUGAUCCUGCCAUAAUAUACUCCCGCCAAUUCUAUUGCACCGGCAACCGAAGUCGAACAUACAUACGACGAUCUUCAUGCGUGAAGGGACGGGAGGAAAGAAAGGGCGGUAGAUGAUAAUGCGAAAGGGCGCCGCGUCUGGGCGGGCGGGCUGAAUGGAUGAGCGAAAGAUGCCAUGGAGUGGGGAAUAUCCCCAGUCUAAAGUUAUACAACUAAAUGCACUUCAAGGUGCUGCCGAGGAACUGGGGGACCUUCUCGAGCACAGGAUAGGCAAUUGAGAGAUAGAGUUAGCCUAUUCGUUAUGGGGAAUCAAUGCUCCGGACCGAAUAGUUACCUCCUUUUCUUUCUCUGGCGCAUAUUAGCUUAGCAGCGCUCAAAAGGCCCAGGUUGGUUUGUUUGGCUUCCUCUCUUAGGCCACUUUCCUUACCUUACUCCCGCAACACUCCCACUCCAAGCUACGCCUGCUGAGCAAGAUGCAUUGCGAUUUCCUCUUCUGUGGACGCACCUUCGCCUCACCAUGACCCGGGACGGGAAGAGAAAGACUUUGAUUUUUCCGGCGGGCUUGAUAGUAAAGCCAAAGAAAGACGCCCCAAGACAAGGUACAACUGUUGGGAAGGGGACAUGAUCAAUAGAACCCGGCUGGAUCCGGGCUGGGAUAGUGGCGCCCAUUCCUAACCAGUUCAGAAAAGGUUCGCUCAUGCUGGAGGUACUAACCACUUAGUGAUCGGUCCGCUAGUUCACGCAAAUCCGAAGAAGUUAUCACGGACGAGCCACAUGCAGGGAAACUUGCACGUGUGGUUCUGGCCGGGCUUUCCUUCGGUAUCUAAUAACCUUGCUUCUGCUCGCCGCUGGCGCACCUCUCCUAACUAUUGCCCAUUUAUUCUGGAAUCAUUUUUUUAGGAGGGACAAUUUUACAUAUUUCUGCCAAAUCCUUCUAUUAUUAAGUACGGCUGGUACCAUUUCGAUGUGUUUCGAUUCUUUCGAAAAAGAGAGGUUUGAUGCUUUUGAAUUCAUUGUAUUAAUUCCACUUCCUACUCGCAGUAUGCUCUUAAUGAUCCCGGCUCAUGAUUUAAUUGCCAUGUAUUUAGCUAUUGAGCUUCAAAGUUUAUGUUUUUAUGUGAUCGCAGCAUCAAAAAGAAAGUCUGAAUUUUCCACGGAAGCCGGCUCAAAAUAUUUGAUCUUAGGUGCAUUUCCCUCUGGAAUAUUAUUGUUCGGGUGCGACCGGACUACUACCGAUCAAUUUUUGGAAACUUCUUUAUAGACUUGUAGAGACCCUCUAUGUAGUUGUAAUUCUUGGGCAAUCGAUCUACUUUCCCCAUAGCCCUAAGGCAGUGUCUCGAUCUCCUACGUGCGAAAGAUAAGAUACGGGAGACGGGGUCCUAUGGUAUGGGUCUUCGACCCUUGGUCUAAUUCCACGACGGAGAGUCGGCGUGGCGUAAAGUGAAGAUUGGGGGGAAUAGAGCGAAAUCCCCGUCUGGGGUAUUCCGAAGGUGUAACCUAGGCAACGAAAAAGGGGCCCGAUACUUAAACUAAAGGAGCGACCUGUUGGUUCACCAAACCCCGACCCAGUGUCACACGUUCUCCAGGUCCGAAGGGAUCCAGUGCCCAACUACCGACUCCUCCCGGAAUUGCGUUAUCGGAGCCGAGCCAGGAAUAGCCGUUAGUGGACACCUACCACUUUUCACCGGUUAGAGAGGCCCUCUUUAAUACAUUAAGAAAAUAUGUUCACAGGGGCCAGAAAGACUCGGUCAUAGGAACUUAAACCACCUACGCGCUGGUAAACGAAAACCACCUCGACCGGAUCUACCGAACGAAGAAGGCCGCCCCGUCGAAAGAAUUAACACGCCAAAAGGGCCACCAGCUUUCCCCAAAAAAAGGGGAGAUCCGCUGCUUACUGCUCACGGAAACAUCCGACCUUAUCGUCAAGUCGUCCGCCUAUCUUUCUGAUCUCAUUCGUUUUCCGAUCGCAUAAAAAGAUAAAAAAAUCAAUAAUGUGAGAAUGUAGUUACAGAUGUGAAAAAAGUAAAUAUCUCUCUGUCUUUUCUCUGGAUCAUUCAUUUACAAAGUUCUUUAAAAGAAGAAAACCGAUCGACCAUUCUCCGCGGAAGAUAGGUAAACAUUUGACGAGCGAAAAAAAACACGUGAGAAAGACCUAAAAACCCAUUCUCCCUAAAUGGUUUACCUAUACUGAAUGGAAGGUUUAUGACAUGGGAAGAUUUUCCAGAAUAUGAGCAAGGGUAAAGGAUUCAUCACUUGCUGGGCUUUCAGGGAGUAAUAGGAGGGGUUGGGAAUUGAUCGUUGAAAUCAUCCCACCAGAGCAUAUGAACUUGAGGUGGGGGCUCAAUCUCGUCAGUCUCCCGGAUUCCAGUCAUGUCUCUACCAUCGGUUUCUCCCUUUUCUCCGGCUGGCGUAAUAAGGAGGGAGUCAGAGACUACCAACUCGACAAUGUUGGCUCGAUCAUGUUUAUAUUGGCAGGAGGAAGUACAGCAUGAGUGGGUAGGGGAUUAGUAGUGACAUUAGGACGGUUUGCCCUUGGCGGCUCAAUUUUCCCUGAAUCAAUAAGGUCUUGGAUGUCAUGUUUAAGCCUUAAACACUUUUGGCCUUUUGUCUGAUGGUACUUGCAGUAGGCAUUGGCUUUGUACCUAGGAGGAAGAGGAUCUGGUGGCGGAGAUGGGGGAAAAGGCGUCAGUACACCAUGCUUCUUAAGCUUAUUUUCCAAGGCGCGGCUGAGAGUUAUGCCGAACGGAGUGAAAGUCCUGAGUGUCUUUGGUUUUCCGUCAGACAAGAUAUUCACUUCACUGUUCUUGCUUGUUCCCCCCAGGGCUAUCUUCUUUCCUUUUGGAUCUGCCUCUUUGACCUGUGAUCCAUGAGUCCCAUUGUAGAUAGCAUCUUCAAUACGAGUGGCUGCUUCAAUCAAAGAGUCAUAAGUGGUCAUCGCUUGGAAAUCUAAAUAGUCAUGGUAUUGCCUACUCAUGUUAUUCAUCAUUAUCCGAACUUGUUCCUUUUCUGGGGAGAGAUCAAUCACUUGGGCUGCUUUGGCCUUCCAACGGGCCAGGAAAUUGGUCACAAUCAUAAAAGACCUGAACCGGAGGUGCUUGGGGUGCAGUAGAAGGAACAGACUUUGAUUGAUGAGAGAUUUUGGAUAAGAGUUCAUAAAAGGCGCUAGCCUGUUUCAUGGUCAGGAAGGGAAAGGAAAGAGCUGGGUUUCUAACAAAAAAGGAAACGUUUCCUUUUUUUUUGUUAGAAAACGAGCUUCUGGCAAAGCAUCGGGAGGGAGUGUCAUUGACCCAUUCCUACUGCUUCUUUGAUUCAUCAAUUCCCAUCUAUGAAUUAUGGAUCCAAUUCGGUAUCUUGCGUAGGAAUUCAUGUUGUCAACGAGGAUCUUAGCCCCUUCUUGUUGUUUUCCCAGCCAACUGUCAAAUGCAAAUCCAAAAAAAGGAAUGCCUUUGAGAGAAGAAUGUAGGAACGAAGCUUCCCGGAGUCCUUUUCCUCCGUGAACAAACCUGAUUUCGUCAAAGACGAUGAGACUUCGGUUUCCGGCGAGGCCCAGUCGGAGCCAAAGGAAGAUUCAGCGAGAACAACAAAAGCACUAAAAGAAUUGGGUUUGGUAAUCGACCGGGUUGAAACGCUCCAUAUUCCUGGAAAUACGACGGACGACAUCAUUGAUCAUAUGGUGGAUAUAUGGGAUAUAGACAAAAAAGCUGAUUCAACAAGUAAAAUAAACUCUUUAGUGGGUUCGUUAGAGCGCUUUGAAGAACUAAAAAAUCGGCUUGUUGCCGACGCUUCGGCAUGUACAGAAGAGGAAGUCCAAGAACUUCUUCAACGAUUUCAGAAUACGGGCCAGGCCGCCAGUGACUUUCUUAUUGCUAGGUAUGGUAUUGGCACAAGGUCGAGUCAACUGCACAGCAUAAAUCUCUCUUUGAUGACGAACGAAGUCAAAACACGAAUGGAGGUGGACCUUGAAAACCACCAAGAAGUGUUUUCCGAACCUUUUCUAAAUUGUUGUCAAAAAGCGUCUGACUGAAUGAAGUAGGCUCCGCGGUCUUCAACCAAAAUAAAGUGACCAAAAGACACAAUUGCAUCGGUCCAAUGAGACAUGGGGGCACCAGUAGAUAUUGAAAGAAAUACUAUUGAUCGGUAUUAUUGUUGUAGUUCUUUCUUCCUAUCGUCGAUGAAAGUACAACCACCCGUUUUCCACACUUUUUCAUAUCUUAAGUCAGCGAAUUACCCGCGGUGAGGAAGAGAGAUUAGAACUCCAGGAUUGGCAGAAGUGUUUCUUCUCCUUGCUAAUUGCCUACUCAACAUUGGUGUGUUUCACAUUCCACUCUAUCUAGCCAAAUAUCAUAGCUAGUCCAAUGCUUUUCCUCGUCGUAGUGAAGUGAGGGAAGGAAUUAUGCCCUAGCCCCAAACAAAAGUACUUGUUUUGACCGGCCUAUUACGAGCCUAAAGUAGUACACACAAGAGUGAAGUCAGGGCGAAAUCCCUACUUACUUGACUGGUUUCCGGGUCUCAGAAACAUAGAAAGGAUUUAACGAAUAGGAUAGUCUAAUGUCCAGUGAGGACAUCUCCUUGCUUGCUUUUUUCAUUGACUGAUUCUAGUGGCUGGCCCAGUGAGAGAAUUACCAGUGUCUGUCAUUAGACUUGAUCUUUCCAUGGCGAACUCUUUUGUUGUAUAAAAUCGGCUGGCUGGAUUGACCUUUGGGAUUGAGUCACUCGUACAUUGAAUCAGAGUAUUUCGUAUAACUCUUACUUAACAGACUUAGUGGACUGAUUGAUUGUUUCUUAGUUAGGAUUUAAAAUUCCUCCUAGCUUGCGAAAUUCCCCUCUGCACUUGCUGCUUUAAUAAGAAGUAGUAGAUGGGAGUAAGGGCUCGGCUGGUGAGUAGUAGGAGUAAGGGCCCGGCUAGUGAGAACUAGCUUAUACUAUCUUUCCGGUGUAAGAGCGUCUCGCUUAUACUUUCGGAGAUCUCUCUCGUAAUUCGUAGAGAGCCCCGCCUAAUCUAGAAAAGGGUUUUUCUCUGAGCCAUAAGUCAAAAUAAUAAGUCAAAAUUCCGCAAGAGCUUGACAAGCAAUCCUUCCUACACAACUCAUCGGCGGUGUGACCAGCUUUACUUUUAUCUUCGAUUCAACCUUGGUAUUCUCCUUUCUUAAACUUACUAAGACUAUUGCUUUUUCAAUGAUUCAAAAAAUCAUCCCUAGUAUAACAAGCUGUACCUGACCAACUAUAGUAUUAGACUCAAUAAGAAGCUUUCAAAACACCACUACUAUAUCUAAUAUGCCCCGCCAGACCAAGAGUGAGGAGGUUGACUGAACCUCUGAGCGAGCUAUUAGUACCUUCUUCCUGAAGAGUAGUAGCCUUCAUUCAUAGCCUGACCAACUCGUUCGUACGCUAGUCAGCUAUUCAUUUCUAGUCAGGUUGCUAUUCCGAUUCCUAUCGGUCCAAAAUACCAGUUUCUUUGGUAGUUAGAACUUCAACUUUUCCAACUGGCACUUCAACUCGCUGUCCAAGUCCUAUACCUUUUCUUUCACAAGCCGGGAUAAGGGCGCUAAGCAUUGAUAAAGACUUUCAUUGCUUCCCUAUAAUCUAUAUUCAACACUACUUGAUACAAAACUUGCUUUCCUUAUUUUAGCUACUACCUUUCUCAUAUUCUUAUCAUAUACUUCUUGGAUGCCUUCCUCCAAUCGCUUUCUUGCGCGAGUUAGAUUCUUUAUAUAUAUAUAGGUGAUGAGUAGGGGUGCAGCUCCGUGUACCGCGGCUAGUCAAAUGUCCGAUUUAAUGCACUAGAGGGCGUUAGCACUAAACUAAAUUUUUUCAGUCUACUUUGAAAGUAAAGACUUGCUUUUGUUUUGCUUCUUUGCUGAUGCUUGAUUAACUACAUGUUUAUACUGUAUUCUGCAACAGUAGAGAAGAGAGAAAAAACGUAAUGUCAAACUACACGCCAGCAAGUGCCAGGAAGAGAAGUUAAGCAAUUGGAAACAGAGAAUAAGUGAAAGACAAAAGCAGCCGGCUUAGGAUUUGCAGUGAAUAAAGCAAGGCAAGCAGUGCCAGAUGAUGAUAAAAUAGCGGCGCAUCCUUCUUUUGAAAGUGACCAAACGGGACUUUGAAGCAUAGUAUCAGAUGCCUUAUUUUUUUAGUUAGGAUCUCCUUCUCAUUCCAAAGUAUGGUUGGUGUAUACUCGGCCUUUCCCACUGUAGUUUGGAGCUCACCCUUUAUUUACACCGACCCAAUCUACAAUCAAAACAAAUGUAAAAGAAAAGGUGAUAAGAAAGAAAUCUAGCGAAAGCUAACUGUCAGCUAUAAAUAAAUGCUUUUGCUUUCUAUCCAGCAGCUGAUGCUUUUUAUGUAGUAAAGAAGGAAAUUCUUGGAGUUAGCACGGUACUGAGGUCUCUGGAGCGAGUGACGGAUUAUCUCUUUCGGAACAUUAGAGGUUGUGGACAGCACUCAUAGCUCCUCUAUUUCUCAAGGAUCUAUGCUUCCUGUUUGCACUCUUUCUAGGCUGUCUUCCAGUGCGAUAGAGAAGCUGGCAGUGAACGGAUUCAUCCGGCAAAUGUGGCCAUACUACUAGCUCUGGCUAGUCCUUGCUUCAUGAGGUACAUACUUCUUCCGGUCUGCUCUGUUGCCGAGCUUUCAUUCUCGGACACCUACAUUCCCAACAGGCUAGGGCAAAUACAUGAAGUCGGAAUGAUUCCCAAACCUGGAUUGAAUGCUCCGCCAAAGUCAACCUAAACAAUUAAUUGAAGGAAGUGUCGCCCGGCAUCGAUUUCACGUGUUGGUUGCCCAACCCGAUAAGUAGUUUUUGAAUGAUUCGCGUUAGCCAGGAGUUAGAGAUGUACUUUAUAUUUCAAUAAUUAGACAACAGCCGUCAGUCAAAAUACUGAUAUCCCCCUCGUUCACUUAAGUGGUAAGAAAUGCUUUAGGUGAACAUGCAUGCAGCAAUAAUUAUGUAUUAUUCAAUUGUUAUUGAUUCCUACUCCGUACUUGACUAUGAGAUAGAGGAAGGAUCUGAUAAUUGCUUAUAUAAGCUAAUUCCUAAUUCUAAGACAUAGAUUUCAUUAUGCGGGGCGUAGCGAAAGCAUUCAACCUUCUAGGACUAAGCCUAAGGCCUAUGGUCCCUCAAAAAAGAGAGAUCAAUCGCUAUCAAUGCCAGGAGGCAGAUCAAGAUUCAUGGGAACGAGAACCUUUUUACCUAAGUAGGAAGAAUCCAUUAGGGCUGCGAACUCUUCCAAUAUGUGCGAGCAAAUGUGCAUGAUCGAGUUGGAAAAACCAGGGCAUCAUCUAUCUAUCUAUCAAACUUUUAAUACGUCUCUUCGAGAAGCAAAGAAACUAGUAUAUACUAGACUCGGUGCCAAGGGAGAAAAGCUUAGAGAUAGAAUGCUCAUCCGUCCAUUUCUUAUUUCCUGAGGUUCACCUAUGUUCUUUUCUUGUGCUUUGUCAAAUCAAGUAGGCGCGUAUGAAACACAAAUCCAGAGGCGGAUAUCUAUUGACGAUAUAGCGUAUGAAAGAGAUUUUUAUGCAAUUCCAUCGGUGCUAGCUCUGUUUUCAGCAUUUGCCUGAACAGGCGCAUUUGCUGCUUCAGUUAAUUCCUUUUAAAGGUGGAUAUUCCGGUUCAUUCCUUUGGGACUGCUCAUUUCUUUGCCUUAUCAUUUGCCGACAUGCGGACUCACUUCUCUUUUAUGGGAUGAAAGCCCUUAUCCCAGUCCUCACCAACACCAAAACAAAAAGUGAAAGAAGACCCCGUACACACUCUUCUUUCCCGCAGCCUAGGGAGGCUGCGGCCUCGCCUUCUUUCUGUAAAAGAAAAGAAAAAAAAGAGUCAAAUCGCACCAUCUCUAUAAUAAGUAAAUGCCCUUUUUUCCCCGGAGGUUGUCGGAAUUAUUUGCAAAAAAAGAAAAUAUUGGCUACAAUCGAGGAGGUCUUAUCAAUGAAAUUUCCAUUUCUACGGGAUCUAGGCAUAAUUCCCAACCCACUGACACAAGGAUUUUCAGUCCUUUGCUCCAACCAACUGAACUAUCUGAACAAAAAACGAACGAAGUUUUCAGCAUAUAGCGUCUACCUCUUCAUUGGAUCACCUUGGUACCGCUACUGUCUUCCAAAAGAAAAGCAAGAUCUGUCUAUCUACGAAAAUCUUCGAUGCAGCACCAAUUGCUCCGCGCCUGGGAAGGCUUGUCUCGUGUGGUGGCGCUUACUACUUAACAAUACAACUCGUUUAAGUCAGUCCGUCCUUCCGGUUCUUUCUCUAGAAAACUCGCUCGGCCAUCCCUUUGAUUGAGCGUAGGGUAUGGAUGGCUUUAUUGGAAAUAUUCUGUUCUAGCUCAGGGGCUUCAUAGCUGAUACUCUUUUUUAGCUAUAGGAAAACUUCUUUUUUGAAUAGGCCCUCUCUUUUUCAAUAGAAAAGUUCUAAGAGUGGCCUGCCCUCAACUCAAAGUGGUAGGAUUGAACCAGGCAGUCUUGUAUUCAAAUUGGUGGUGAGGGGAUUCACAGGUCUAGCCAGGGCAAGGUGUCAGAAAUAGCCAAGCACGAGAUAGCUGAUAUGCGUUUUUCACAAAAGCACCGGUCAGUUACUAGGUAAGAUAAGUAAUAGGCUUGGUCAAGUGUCAUGGAAUAGAACUAGUUGCCAAGGUAGCUGGGUUUAAGAAACACGAGAUACUUUUUCUAUAAAUAUGGACGAAUGGAAGUUUAACUCCUAAAGAAGCGCUUUAUGAAGCUUCUCGUAAUUUGAUUGAUUUAUUUCUUCCUCUGCGUGUAGACUGACGGAGUAGAAGGUUCGGUUCGCUAUUUGCUACUGUCUAAUCUAGUGCGCUUGCUUACUUUCUUGGAAUUCUACUCUAGUGCGCUGAGCUGCUUCUCCUUCCAAUUCCGCUCGCCCCGGUCCUUGAUCGAAGGUCUGGUAUCCGCACCGACGCGACUACUAAUUCAAAGGCAUGCUCUACCUCGCACCUGACCAGCAAAAUGACGUAUAGUAACGUCAUAGCUGUGACCCGAACCACAGUGCUCAUCAAAGAUGGUAGUGCCUUCUGCAUUGCGCUAAAUGAUAAAGCCUAUUUAUUCCUAUGUCUUUCUUGUUAAAAAACCACCUGCGAUUUCAGAUAAGUCUUUCUGCUUAGAGCAAGAAGCGGAACUAAGGUGACACCUAGAAAAAUGAAGGAAGUCAUUUCUUAUUUUUUUCAUAAGAAUACCGACCUAGCUUCAAUUGCUUCAGUUGGAGCUGCUGUCGGUAUUGGGAUCCUAUUCGUUUUCGCACUCCACAGAUGGAGUGUUCCUUCACUCGCCCAGGAACCCAUUCCCCGUCGCGUCUGGGAAUAUGGCGAAGAGCUCGGCUUCUUCCAAAUGAGAAUGUCGACUCCUCGAAUGCCAAUCGAUAUCUCGAGGAAAUUGCGCAUGUCCUCGAAUUUCGAUUUUUUGAUCAACAAGCCAUUGAAUCACUUCCAGGGGGGGGGCACUCCUGGGUGGAGCUUGCGAGGACUGUAAUUUCAAGGACGAUCAGUCCGGAUUUGACCGAUAUCGACAUUCUCGCCUACGCCUAUUGCAUAUUAAUGGAGAAGGGGCAAUCCAAUGAGAUAAUGACAGAAGCCCUUAAAAUCCAGCUGCUAUGGCUGCAAGGGUUAUCCAUUUCAUAGGCGAGGGUGGGGGAGAAGCAAGCCGAACCUCUGAUCGACCCGGACACGUCCAAAAUUCUCGGCGUCGAGAGAAAGACGAGAUUCAGUAAGUAAUUCAGUGAGUGCUUUCUUUUAUAAGAAGAGCGUCGGCUUGGAAGAAGAAAAUGAAAUACGAACAACCGCGCUGGUCGUAAUAGAUCGACUUGAAUGCGUCUUCUUGCUCCAGCAUUCAAGUUCCAUUUCAAGGAAGGACGACGUACCAUGAUACUUUCUGUUUUGUCGAGCCCUGCUUUGGUCUCUGGUUUGAUG